CUUCUGACCUUGCAGCACAGAGGCUUCUGCAGUUUAACUCGCAGCGCCACCAUGUCCCUUUUAAGGUUAGUAUUUAUCAAUUCACAAUACCAGGUUGUACUGCAUGAAAAUUUGUUAUAUAAGGACAGUCUGUAGGGAAUUAGAGAAAAGUAACUGUGAGGGACUGGAAAUGAAGACAAAAACAUGACUACAAAAAGAAAAGUGUGUUGCUUAUAUAUUGCAACAUAAAGCACUCUAUGGGUGGUUUACAUUUUAAUUAUGCAGGCUACACUCUGUCCUUCUCCUGCAAGCUGGGUAUGUAGUUUACCAACCUUGGAAGGAUAGAAGGUUGAAUCAAGCCGACUACCUGAACUCAGGAUUGAACUCCGAUCAUGAGUAGAGUCUUCACUACAGUACUGCAGUUCAACCUGGUGUCAUGAGGCUCUGAUGAAGAGUUACAUCACUUUGAUGAUAAUGAAGACAUGGAAAUAAAGAUUUUCUAUAUCUGGGUUCAGUUAUCUAUCCAAAUGGAGAGACUGCAGCCAAGAAAGCAGAAGACAGGCUUGGAAGGGCAGCAAUGAAGGAGCAAGAAAAGAUCUUGAAGAGUAAGGACAUUAUAACUUGAUGUCAGAGCCAGGAUCAUACUGUGGCAUUCCUGAAUGCUAUGUAUGAAUGGAAAAGCUGGCCAGAAAGCUGAGAGAGAGAGAAACGGGAAUAACUUUAUAAAUACUAUGAACCACCAUAAAUAAAAGUAAGUGGGUGAUAGAUUGAAUAAAGUCUGCUCUCUCUCUCUAGAAGGAAAAAUGAAUAAACAGGCUGGCAUAUUAUGAAGAAACAAGCUUCAGUGGAGGAGACAAUGCUGAGAAAAGUUAAAGGCAACAGGAAAAGAGGAACACUGAAUAUGAGAUGAAUUGACUUGAUGACAUAAGACGCAGUCUUGAGUUUGCAAGACCUGAGCAGGGUUGUUAAUGCUAGGAACUUUUGUAGGGUCACCAAUUCAUAGAAUUGCCAUAAACUGGAAGUAAUUUGAUGGCAUAUAUAACAAUGAAAACAGUUUGCAUGCAUAUUGUAGACCUAGAACUGCUGGGUAGCUCAGUGGUUUGGGCAGCUGGUUGGGAGUUCGAUUCGCUGCUGUGCUUCCUUGAGAAGGGCUGGACUUGAUCCAUAGGGCCCCUUCCAGCUCAGUUCUGAGAUUAUAAGCAGCACUCAAAACACAAGAUGCAUGUCUACACCUAGUGAAUGCUACCUUUUCUUUGGAGGGACCAUACAGGGACUGUUUGUUACUUGCUGAUAGCUAUAUGUCUUCUGUCAAUGAGAAUCACAGUAGGAGUAAGACAGGGUCUGCCCAAAUAAAACAUAUUCAUGUAUUUAUUACACAAA